AAUUCGACAAAAUCACUCCUGAGGUUUGAAGCAAGCCCCUCUCCUCCUUCAAACCCUCAUAUCUCCUCUGUUCUCUCCCUUCUUCCCUCUCUCUCCCUUCAAAGUAAGCCAAACAGUCUUAGAGCCAUGGACCAACACAAGACCAACGAAAAUCCUCCCUCGUCGCACCGACGACAAUCUCUGUUACGUUGGUGGGCUCAAAUGUGAUCUCGUAGGCGAUGCCUCCAUUUCCUUUGCAGAGCUGAUGGUUAAGUUCGCAGAAUUCUGUGGCUACUACUGUAGAUUUGAGGUGUCAAUUACCGAAUGAAGGUGUUCAAAACGCCGACGUCAGUGGUGAUUGUGAGAAGAACGAAGAUGAAGACGAUUUCUCUUUUGCACCAGACGGAUCGCCGAUUUCCACCGACGAUAUAUUCCAAAUUGGCCAGAUCCGUCCAAUGUUCUCGAUUUUCAACCAGGAUCUCCUGUUCUCCGAUGCCGACGACGACGAAGCUUCCAGAGCCAAAGGGGCUGCCGCUUCGUCUUCCUAUAUGCGACCGCCAUUGAAGAAGCUUUUCUUUGAAGAGCGGGAUACACCAACCUCGGCAACGUCGUUUUACAACUCAGGAGGUGGACUCGGGUUGUGAUCUAUGAGAUCAACCCGCUUCUAAGUUUGAUCAUCAACACCUUUUACAACAAGAAGGAAAUCAUUCUCUGUGAGCUCAUUAGUAAUGCCUCUGAUCCAGUAGACGUGCACAGGAAUCCACCACCGGGCUGUUUCCCGUCUUCCGCGCCUUUCUUUUGAUGUAGGAUUUUUGUUUUGUAAAAGGAUUGAUUCCUUUGUAAAUUCUUAGUAGUUGCUCUGAUGUUUUGCCCUAGACUGAGA